rnacentral:misc_RNA from 1 species
GAAAUGCGAUAAGUAGUGUGAAUUGCAGAAUUCAGUGAAUCAUCGAAUCUUUGAACGCACAUUGCGCCCCUUGGUAUUCCAUGGGGCAUGCCUGUUCGAGCGUCAUUUGUACCCUCAAGCUUUGCUUGGUGUUGGGCGUCUUGUCUUGUCCAUUUGUGACCAGACUCGCCUUAAAGUAAUUGGCAGCCAGUGUUUUUGGUAGUAAGCGCAGCACAUUUUGCGUCUUGGUCCAUAAACAGUGGCAUCCAUAAAGCCUCCUCACUUUUGACCUCGGAUCAGGUAGGGAUACCCGCUGAACUUAAGC